AUUGAACGCUGGCGGCAGGCCUAACACAUGCAAGUCGAGCGGAUGACGGGAGCUUGCUCCUUGAUUCAGUGGCGGACGGGUGAGUAAUGCCUAGGAAUCUGCCUGGUAGUGGGGGACAACGUUUCGAAAGGAACGCUAAUACCGCAUACGUCCUACGGGAGAAAGCAGGGGACCUUCGGGCCUUGCGCUAUCAGAUGAGCCUAGGUCGGAUUAGCUAGUUGGUGAGGUAAUGGCUCACCAAGGCGACGAUCCGUAACUGGUCUGAGAGGAUGAUCAGUCACACUGGAACUGAGACACGGUCCAGACUCCUACGGGAGGCAGCAGUGGGGAAUAUUGGACAAUGGGCGAAAGCCUGAUCCAGCCAUGCCGCGUGUGUGAAGAAGGUCUUCGGAUUGUAAAGCACUCUAAGUUGGGAGGAAGGGCAGUAAGCGAAUACCUUGCUGUUUUGACGUUACCGACAGAAUAAGCACCGGCUAACUCUGUGCCAGCCGCCGCGGUAACAC
rnacentral:rRNA from 1 species